UUCGAUGAUACAGAAUUGGGAUAUCUUGCUUAUUACAUUGUAUGAGUAUCCCAUUACAUCUUGCGUGAUGUGUGUGUUUUUGGGUCCGGCACGGACCUCAUCACGGUCUAGCCAAGUAUGAAUAACAGACUGGACACGCUCUGGAGCACUUCUUAUGUGACUACUAGAAUGUUGUUACAAGUGCCUAGAUAUCACAUUCUACCAACACUCUGCAGUGAAGAAGAUGAACACGAACCCCAAGCAUUAACAGAAAAUCACUGAAUUGCAUUCAGUCUGUUAUUUCCUAGAUCUAAUGCGCAGAAUGUUUUCACGUCAUGUACCACCGAGUGCAAUCCGCAGGCCGCGAUUCAAGAAAAUCUAGUUUAUCUGUCUUCUGCCAAGCGUAUGAUAUGACAUCAACGAGUGAAGCUUCUGCUGGCUGAGAAGCAGAGUUGCUGCCGCUGCCCAUGGUAGGUGGCCAGCACCUAUCACAUCAGCUCACACGUACCGCACCCGAAGAGGUUCACAAUGCUGAACCCGUCGCCACAAGCGCGCCCGCCGUCGGCCGUAUCGCGCGCCCCGAGCACAUCGGCAUACGUGGCCGCCAGCGGCAUGGCGCGUUACAGCACGGCCGACGCCAACGACGCCGCAGAGGUGCUCUCGACAGACACGGGCGAGGCGCUGCGCGAGGCGGCCAUGAAGCGCGCUGACUCGCUCGACGAGGAGGACUUGGAGCGCGCCCGCACGCCUCCCUCCCCGAUCGGCCUGCUGGCAAUCCAUCUUCUUCAAAUGAAGGAGUUUAACCAGUCGGCCGUCAGUAUGGAUCUGGUGAACCCUAGACUACGCUUCAUGAUGCUGGUCUCCAUUGGAGAUAUGUACAAGGAAACAGGAUUGAAGAGUGGCCACGUCAGGCACAUUCGAGAAAAAGAGAAGUCCACCAGGCUAUUAGACAGGCUGCCUAUUGAUGAAGUUAAACAUUUCUCUAUGAGGAUUCCGCAGCAAGUUUCUGAUCCCGCCAAUGUUUUGAGGUUCGGGCUGUACAGCGUGCACCUUGAUACCAAGGACACCGCACCACCAGAGCUCGUGGGUGAGGCGGAGGUGCACCUUCACGAGAUCAUCAAGGCUAUGAUGGUGAUUGACGUGGUUUCGCUGAGGCUCGACGGUCGCGUGGUGGCCAGCCUGGAUCUCGAGUUCGCCUUCAUGUACGGCUCCAUGGGAUUCUGCUACUCCACACAACUGGAGAACGCCGCCUUCGACGCCAGUCGAGAUCUGGGGCGCAGCAUGUUCCCGCGUCUGACUCUGCCUGAGGAGCGCGACGGCGAGGUGCUGGUGCCCAUGCCGCAGCACGCGCCCGCCUUCGUGCCCUGGACCUGUUCCACCGUCACCCACUGGGACGAGCAGCUGCAGCGGCUACCGCCUGUCUGGCCGCCGGCGGCGCCCACCCAGUUCACGGAGAGCGUACACGCGGAGGUGCGCCGCAUCUUGACCGACUACGUGCCCAUCACGUCCCGGCCCGAUCGCCUGGCCUUUCUGCGCAGACUGAUUCGAGGCACGCCAGUUCGGGAGCCGGACGAGGGCGAGAGCGGGGGCCGGUGAUGACCGGCCGGCCGACCAGCACCACGGCAGCGACCCUGGUCCGGCCCAGCUAUCGACGACGCCAACGGACGCCGGCCGGCCGCAGCUGAGCGAGCGGCCACCAGCUGCCUCCGAGCACGGGGCCAGGCGCGGCACGG
rnacentral:misc_RNA from 1 species